AGGAAAGAGUGAGGAUUGGAGCGAGAAGGAGUGGAAAAGGUAAAGGCUUUUUUGGGAUUUUGAGAGAGGAGAUGGAAUUGCAAUCGAUGAGAAAGCAUUGCGAGUAUGGAUUUAUAUAGGCGGGAAAACUCUGAGAGAA